UUUCUUUUUCUUGGUGAAAAACAGUCUUAUUUAUAAUUACUUUGCGGCUAGGGCUUGGAAGGUAAGUGGAAGGUCUGCAUGCUAAAGUGUCCUUCAACAAAAUACUAAAACCAAAAAUAUCCCAAACGCACCGAUCAGUGUGUGACUGUGUGUUUCAGAUAAAGCUCCAAGGUAGACAGAAUAAAGAGCAGUGUUAAAGUGUGGCUAGAAAUAUAAAGUGGAUGGGAAAAGUUAAACUGCCAAUCCUUUUGUUAAUAAAAAGCAACUCCCAAACCACAAACUGUUACAUUAAACAUCUGUGUAGGCUCGCAUUCAUCAAGGUCGUGAUCGUCUUCAGAGCUUGAAAGAAGAAGCCCACUGGACUUCUUCAAGUUUGUGAAGACUCUCAUCCAAGAGGCAUCUUCAGUUCUAAAGUCAAAGGUGGAGAGUCCCAUCCAUUUAACCCCUAGUGGGGGUUGUUGCCUUUGGAGGGGGUCCUGGGAGUCGUUGACCUACUACUGAUCAUGUGUGUUUCUUCUUAACUCACCUUUUUUCAUUCUUUAUGAGUUCAUACACCCCUCUGCAUCCAAUCACUGGUUAUUAGUAAUCUCUGCUGUCUUCCACAAUGUGUCUAUUGUCCUGUUUCCCUCCCCUCAUCCCCAACCCCCUGCGGCAGAUGCCUGCCCCUCCCUGAUCUUGGUUCUGCUGGAGAUUUAAAGCUGUUAAAACUAAUUUUUCCUUCUCACUGACACCAAGUGCUCCCUCAUAGGGGGUCAUCUGAUUGUUUGGGGUUGUUUUCUGUUAUUGCAGGGUCUUUUGGUGUUGUGAAGCAUCCCCUCUGUUCAAUGACUGUCGUUCACAUAGAUGGCCUCCUUCAGUCCUCUUUCAAACCAUCUGUCUUCUCUGUCCAAAAUGCAGACGCCUUUCACAUGGCACUCAGGACUGCUGCUGGUUUUAAUUUAUCUGAGAUCAGUUGGAUGUUUACCUAUGAUGCUUUUAACAGACGCUCCCAUGGCUAAGAACAAAUCAAUAACGAGCCUGUGGACCAGACCAGGCCCGGCAGGAUACCACCGCUGGUACAACCUCCCUUGGACAGAGGCGCGGACAUGAACCUUGGACAGACCGCCCAGCGGGGAGACAGGGGAUGAUGGGGAGGGAGGAGUGAGGAGGAUUC